ACGCUCGACACCUACGGAGGCAGCAGUGGGGAAUAUUGCACAAUGGGGGAAACCCUGAUGCAGCGAUGCCGCGUGAAGGAAGAAGUAUCUCGGUAUGUAAACUUCUAUCAGCAGGGAAGAAAAUGACGGUACCUGACUAAGAAGCCCCGGCUAACUACGUGCCAGUAGCCGCGGUAAUCUGAGCGGGCUGGCAAGGC
rnacentral:rRNA from 1 species